UCCUCCCCCGCGGGAGAGACGCAGCCUGCCCCUGUUGCAGCGGUGCGCGCCGAAGGAGCAACGACCCGGAAACUCUCAGGCAAAAGGACCGCGGACCGGAG
rnacentral:ncRNA from 1 species